CUUGCUCCCUGAGAUUAGCGGCGGACGGGUGAGUAACACGUGGGCAACCUGCCUAUAAGACUGGGAUAACUUCGGGAAACCGGAGCUAAUACCGGAUACGUUCUUUUCUCGCAUGAGAGAAGAUGGAAAGACGGUUUACGCUGUCACUUAUAGAUGGGCCCGCGGCGCAUUAGCUAGUUGGUGAGGUAAUGGCUCACCAAGGCGACGAUGCGUAGCCGACCUGAGAGGGUGAUCGGCCACACUGGGACUGAGACACGGCCCAGACUCCUACGGGAGGCAGCAGUAGGGAAUCUUCCGCAAUGGACGAAAGUCUGACGGAGCAACGCCGCGUGAACGAAGAAGGCCUUCGGGUCGUAAAGUUCUGUUGUUAGGGAAGAACAAGUACCAGAGUAACUGCUGGUACCUUGACGGUACCUAACCA
rnacentral:rRNA from 1 species